rnacentral:rRNA from 1 species
UACGUAGGGUGCAAGCGUUGUCCGGAAUUAUUGGGCGUAAAGAGCUCGUAGGCGGUCUGUCGCGUCGGCUGUGAAAACCCGGGGCUCAACCCCGGGCCUGCAGUCGAUACGGGCAGACUAGAGUGCGGUAGGGGAGACUGGAAUUCCUGGUGUAGCGGUGAAAUGCGCAGAUAUCAGGAGGAACACCGGUGGCGAAGGCGGGUCUCUGGGCCAGUCCUGACGCUGAGCCGCGAAAGCGUGGGGAGCGAUCCGG